rnacentral:rRNA from 1 species
UACGAAGGGGGCGAGCGUUGUUCGGAAUUACUGGGCGUAAAGGGCGCGUAGGCGGCCGAUCAAGUCAGAUGUGAAAGUCCUGGGCUUAACCUGGGGACUGCAUUUGAUACUGAUUGGCUUGAAUUCGGGAGAGGAUAGCGGAAUUCCCAGUGUAGAGGUGAAAUUCGUAGAUGUUGGGAAGAACACCGGUGGCGAAGGCGGCUAUCUGGACCGACAUUGACGCUGAGGCGCGAAAGCGUGGGGAGCAAACAGG